GCAAACAAGCUGCAACAGCGGGCUCGGCGGGAGGAAGGAGAAAGAAGGGGAGGCGGCAGCGGAGGAGGAGCAGGGCACAUAAACCAGGGCACUUCAGUUGUCUCAUGUUUCCUUCUGUUGAGAGUUCACACUUCGCGUCGGAACUUUUGCGCACCAAUGGCGCAAUUAGCAUGCACAAAAGCCCUUGUUCGCGACGCUUGCGUUCGCGAGCUAGCUUUAGGAAAACUUGUGCUGACUUUUCGUUCUUUGUAUUCCCUUCAAACUCAUUUGGACCCAAGUUCGCCUUAACCCUCCCCUCCCCCAACCCCCCUUCUUUAGGCGGUGUGUGGCAUUUGUUUGCCACUUUUAAAGGCCCAGCUCUGUUUGCUCUGAUGUUCUUUUAGCCGAGGCUGUGUUGGGGCUGGUGAACUGACUGGGCUUUAGUGACCGAUGAGGUGUUAAAUGCUAAUCCAACAUAUUUCGAAACAAACCAGGAUUUUGUUGAAACAUUUUAAAGCAAACAAACAAACGUCUGGUUGUGCAGAAAAUCAGAAGAAAACCUUUUUUCUUAAAAUAACAUUUUAUUUUCAUUAAAACAAUGUAGAGUGCAGAAACAAACUCUUAGGUCAGUCCAGUGCUUUUACUGUAUUCCGCUCCGGCGGCGUGGGGAGUUACAAGCCAUUGUUCGGGGGAAUCUAUAUCUCUCCCCCCGCCCCACCACCACCAUCGCCUGCUGGGAGGUCGCGCUGGUUAAUGAUUUCUGGGCAAGGAGCUCGGCUUCUGACGGGGGAGCCGGUCUGGCGGGGCUGCCUGAGCGAGGUGUGCUGGGACGCGCCGGGCCGGGCCAGCAGUCCCCGCCAUGGGCGAGGCGUGAGGAAGUCCUCCCGCAAGACCUGCAGGCUGCGGGGGCUCGGCAGGGGGGCUCGACGAUUGGUUACAGUUGGCAGGGAGGCAUGUCAGAGGGGGCCUCCCCAGCCCUCUCCUGCCGCCGCCUCCUCCCUUUGUCCAGCGCCGGGCACUCCGGGGAGCACCAGCCGCGCCUGCGCGCUGCGCUCCCUGCCACCGCCCCGCCGUCCCCGUCUCCCCGCUUGGGCACGGGGCUGUGCGCGACGCAGUGGACGGGUGCGGGGCUCAGCGAGGGACUCCCGGGUCCAUAGAGAUCUGGGGAGGGUGGGGGGAGCAAGGACGAGUGCCUGCCGGGACCCCCCUGGCUCCUCGCUCCCAAGGAGUCGAGGGGAACGUCUCUACCGCGCUGCAAAGCCAGCAGGUAACUUUGGGGAGGUGCGGGCCAGGCCAGCGAGCAGCACUCGGCCCAGGCGCCGCGGGGCGGACGGAUUGGAAGCCGGAUGGAGGCGUGGCCGGGUGGGGGCCGCGGCGGCGGGGAGGCGCGUUCCCGGCGCGCAGAGCUCUAUUGUUAUAUAAAAGUGCCGAAGCCUGCCCCUCCCGAGCGGAAAACCACCUGUGUGCGGCCGGCGCGGCGCGAGAGGGAUGCAGCCGGAAGGCGCGGGCCCUAAUCCGGCCUUCCCUCCCUAAACCCCGGCGGAAAAGAGGCCGCGCUUUGUCCCACCGCUGCCUGAGAGGCGGAAGCGGGGGCAGCCGUCCGGCGGGGUGCGGCUUUGGGGAGUGUCCCUUGCUGCGCUUUGCGCCUACCGUGAACACCGCGAGGGCGCCUAAGGUCGCGGGGUCUCCCUUCGCCCGACGCCCCGCACCCACGGGCAUGCCUGCUAACACCCCCGCUGCAAUUUGCAUUUUUAGUCACCCGCCUCUUCCCUGGUUUGGGAAAUGUAGGCUAAAAAAAGGCGGCUGCGAGGCCUAGGUUGCCAAUUUUGGAGCUCUGCUUCAGGCAGGCCGCCCCUGGAGGAGCGUGUUCGACAAAGGUGGGGAUUGCCGAGCUCCUCUCCGCACCAUUUUUGGGCAGUCCUUGGAACAAAACUCGUAUAUUUCACUGGGUAUCUUCUAGUUUCAGCCGGGGGAGGCCUGCGCUGGAGUUGACUCCCCCUGUCCUCCACGAUCUGUCACAGAAGUUCCCACCCCGAGACGUUUCAGUCAUUGGGACCUGGGGACAGGGAGGGAAGAGGCAGGAUGCCCUUCAGCGGAACUGAGAAGAGCAAACCUGUUGGAGGUUCAGCACAGGACCUCCAACAGAAGAGAAAGGGAGGGAAGUUGGGUUUCUACUUUGCCUGUUUUAAUACGCAGCUACUUGAGUAUGACUAUAGAUUCGGGAGGAUACAUCGAAACUGUAGUUUUACCCAUGCUUCUGAACUUUAUCGCCAAGGGAAUGCCAGUGUUUCCUGGCGCAUUGAUUAAAGUGGCGUUCUGACUGCUCAGUACUAGAAAUGCUGCGAAAAGGGCUUCUGGAGUGGGACGGCCCUCGUUUGCAUUAUGUCCCCCGCUUCUUCCUAGGUAAGCGCCCUUAGUUAAAUCAUUUAGCCGUUCUAAGUUGCAGUCUUCCACGUCGGCAUAACGAAGAUAAAACUAUCUGCUUCAUAGGGUCCCUGUGACGACAAAAUGGGUACGGUGAAACGUCCUAAAGUGGUGGUGGGGUGCUAUUAGCCGUUGGAAUUAAUUUUUCAUUCUGAAUUGAGGACCUGUAAAAAGGCCUCGGCUUGGGGACACGGUUUGGGCAUCCCACAGAUGCCCCUUGAGGCUCGCUUGACAGCCCGCCUGGACUCGCUCAUCUGCAGCAAAGCCCUCUGAGAUACUACCCUAACCGAUUUAAUCCGUUCCAAUUCAGCUGUCAAGUAAAGGGGGUGUUAUCGUAGACCAGGAUCAAAAAUCCUUUAGCACAGUUAUCAGAAUGGACCCAGCUACAUUUCUGAUUUCUCCCUACUGGUCACCUUUGGAACACGCUGUUCUCCAGCCACAGCAAACUGAUACAACAAUGCAUAUUGGGCACUUAACUGCAUGAUGGGUACCGUCUUGUUUCUGUGUUUACUUGCAUAAUUUCGGACAGUCUUCAGAAAAAACAUGUAAAUUAUCCCAUUUACAAAGAUUAAAGAAUUUGCCCAAGGGCACACAGUAGCAACAGAGUGUCAAGACGUGAGGCCAAACCCUUUACAGACUCUUAAGGAUGCCCACAUGCACGGAUUACAUAGAGUGUUAUGGACACUAUAUUCACCUCCACGUGGUAUUCCCUGCCCACAUGUGAAGAAUUUCAAGGUCAGCAUUUUGAAUUUUGACCUCCAGGCUUUCUCCAGCCUCACGUUUUCUGUUGCAUCCUCCAUGUCAAAGAUCAAAAGCGAGGCUGCUUUCCCUGCUCCUUUUACACACCAGUGGUUUUCUUUGCACGCAACCCUUCAUCAGUCAAACAUUCACUAAAUGUUGCAUAUUUUAUCUCUCUUAGAAUAUGCCCUAGAUCCUAAUCUUCACAAGUGUCAUUGGUUAUCUAGUGCGUCAGCACAGCACAUAAGCCUAGGUUCAAACCUCUGUCACUCAGUAGUAGUCUGGGCCUCACUUCAUUCAUUCAUUGAUGCAUUUAUUCUAGAUUCCAGGAAAGCAGUAGAGAAUAAACAGACAACAAUAACCUGCCUCACUGAAGUUUACAUUCUAAUGAGGACAGUCCAAUUAACAAAACAAAUAAUUAUAUAUUAGAAAGUGAAAGCGCUAUAGAGAAAAAGCAAGAAAAGGAAUUCGGAAGUGUGUAACAUUGGGAAUAUAUAUUCCUCCCUCAAAGGACUGUGAGGAUUAGACACAACUGAGAUGACACACGAGAAGUGUAGGGCACAAAGUCGGUAUUCAGAAGAUGAUUUUUAAAAUAUCACCACUUCAUUCCUGCAUAAGGAAUGCUGUUGGUGGUGAUAUUGCCAUUCCUGUGAGGCACUGAGGAAAAGCUCUCUUAGGAGAUAAGGGCUGUAGUAGUUGGAAGAAUUACAGGCUUCCUUAAUUCCAGAGGCCUCAGUGCCCUUCAGAGGAUAUCAUUCAUAUGAAGAGGUCUGUAUUUAAAAAUUGGAGAUAGCAGAUCAUCUGUGAUCCAUUCUCAUGAGUGCAGAGAAGCACUUUCAUAGAUUCUUGUUUCUUCCUCUGUGUGUGUGUGUGUGUGUGUGUGUGUAUGUAUGUGUGCACCGAGCACCUGUGCUUGUGCUUGAAUUCCUCCUGGUGUUUCCCCCUGGAAAGUUCCUUAAAAAUUGUUAGUUAAAAAAAAAAAAUUUUUAAAGCAGUGUAUUUUGGUUAUAAAAUUUUCUCUAGGCCAUUUGAGAAACAUUCCACUUUUGCAGGAAUUUUCCUGAGUUUGAGGGCACUUGAGAUUUAUAAGAUGCAAAUGGGCUAGCAUGACCUUUAAUCUUCUUGGAAUAAUCUCUGUGAAUACAAUGACAUUUAUUAACACAUCAUGUGAAAACAGUUAAACAGAUUUUCAGCAAAUAAGGAGAGUUUUGGAAGUUCUGACUUAAAAUGUAAAUGCAUUUAGGGGUCCCAGGUAGGCCCUCAAAGUGACAGUGGCUUUCAGUGCAGCUAAAACUUCAAAACUGAAUUUAACUGUAUUUGAAGGAUACACCUGAAAUAGUAUGGCUUAAUGUAAAAUGUAUAUGGGUUGCACAAAACUGUCCCUAAGGUCUUCUGAUGAGUGCUUUUAAAAGAUACCAAGAAGUUGUACCACAACAGUAGCAACCGAGAAACACAAGAAGCCUAAGGAACUGACAGUAGGUAACAUGACUUACAGGCAGUGAUAGGCUGUGAGAAAGCCAAAGGGAAUUUCAAAUAGCCCCCAAUUAAAAUUCCAUGAGGGCAGCCCCUGGGAAUUGCAGAUCCAGGUUUGCAAUCAAACUGCUUCUCACGUGGAAGCUCCGUGCAGCUUGCCCCAUGAUGAGGAGCUGCAAGGGCUUAUUGAGCACGGGUUAAUGAUUUCUCCAAACAAUGCGGGGGAAGGGGAAAGGCAGGCUAGGUUAGACCUCAAGGCAGAGGUAGCUGGACAGCAACACCAGAAUCACACCCACAAGCAUAUCUAGGGGGAGAUUGGAGCUUCCCCAUGAACGAGAUGGCACAUUCACGCAUUGCCAGGAUGAUACCACCUGAAGAAAAACAUGAACUAUUGUGAAAUUCAGACCUUAGCCAAUUUGGCUAAGCUUUUAAAAAUUACGGUCUUCGUCAGCUUUCUUGCAUUUCUGUUUCCCGUCAUCUGAUGAAAGACAAAUUAAUUUACAUUCAGGCUCCUGUAGAGACUUUAUCUAGAAUUUUUUUAAAAGCUAGACGGUCUCUAGCAAAGAAAUUCAUUAAAAGAUAGCAAUGUUAAUUUUUUAUUUCAGAUGUUUUAAUUCCAUGCCUUCCACUGGGAAAAUAUUCAUUGAUUCUUCUUCCUUAUCCUUUAUUUUUACAAAGCAGGAAAUGUAAAAAGCAUAUAUAAAUGUAUAUAUAAGAAACUCAUGACGUUGGCAUUUCUGCAGUACAUUUCUGAGUAAGCGCAUUUACCUUCUUUUGGAAAGGAGUUGACGGUACCUUGUUUCCCGUUGUACUAUUUUGAAAGCCCCAGCGAUGAUCCUUAGUGGGAAAGUAUAGCUUACAUUGCCAGCCAGGUAAGUGAGAGACUAUAUGUAUUCAGCUCUCCAAAACCUUCUCAUGUCGUGUCAUGAAGCACCACAUGUGUGGUGUCGGGCAUUAUCCAUGUUGCAUCUUCAUGUGGAAUAUUUGCCGUGAGCCUCCCUGUGUGGGCUGUUUCCUCUGGUGACUUUUCUCUCCAUCUUGUGUUGCUUUAUUUACGCAGGUGUGAGUAGUACAUAUAGCUGUUGUGUAAGAGAACUCAUUAUUUUCCUAAGUGGGUACUAUUUCCUGCCACCCUAUUUUUGCUUCAGAAAUCAGUGGAAGUAACUGUGUGUGUCCACAAUACAGGAAUGCUUUAGCUCAGUUUUUCAAACUUUAAGAACUUGCAGAUCCCCCAAGAAUAUAUUAAUAGAACCCUAGGGAGCCCCAAACUCCAGUCUAAACAACACUGCUUAAGGCUGUUGGUGGGUUCAUUAUAAAAGUUAUAUCUGGACAUAUCAUGAAAUAACAACAUAGUGGCUACAACUUAUUCUACACCAACCAUUGUACGGGUUAAAUCUAACCAUUGUGAUAACCUUGCAAAACAGGUAUACCAUUAUCACAACUUUAAGGUGGGGAAGCCUGAGCUCUAAUGUCAGGUAAUUUAUGCUGGAAUCCAAACUUGCAUCUCAGUCCCUUCAAAGCUCCUUAGUACAUACACACUGCUGCCAACCUGAUGAGUGGCCCUGAAUGAAUUCAACCUGGUAUACCAUGAUAGCUUCUACAUAAUUUGUUACACUUUAUCUUGCUAGUCAAGACUAGGACUUGUGGAAUCAGCCCAACCUGGAUUCUAAUCCUGGCUUACCUACUUUCUGGCCCUAUGACUCAGGGAAACCAUUUCAUCUCCCCAUGUCUCAGUUUCCUUAUCUGUAAAAUGGGAAUACUCUAUCACAGAGCUAUUGCAAUCAAUGAUUUAUAUUUGUAAAGUGGGUAGAAACAGUCCUAGAACAAUAACUCAUUGAUUGCUACCUGUUUUUAUUGUUACACACACACACACACAUAUACACACAAUUCUUUUUUUUUUCUUUGAGACAGUCUCACUCUGUCACCAGGGUGGAGUGCAGUGGCACGAUCUCGGCUCACUACAACUUCCGCCUACCAGGUUGAAGCAAUUCUUGUGCCUCAACCUCUCAAGUAGCUGCAAUUACAGACGUGCACUACUAUGCCCAGCUAAUUUUUGUAUUUUUAGUAGAGACAGGGUUUUGCCACAUUGCCCAGGAUGGUCUUGAACUCCUGGCCUCAAGUGAUCCACCAGCCUUCCAAAGUGCUGGGAUUACAGAUGUAAGCUACCGCACCCAACCACAACUCUUAAUAAAUGUUUAUUGACUUUGCUGAAAAGGGAUCAUAUAACAAAAAAACACUAUAGUGUUAAUUUAGUUCUCAGGAAGAGAAAAACAAUCCAUACACAUUUUUUGAAAAAAGUUUCAAAGAACAGAAUCAACUGCUUUACGGCCCCUCUUAGUUGCUGAUAUAAGCAACCCAGAAAUUGAGGUUUCUUAAUGGGCUGAGAUACCUGGAUAGUUUGGGGACAGUGAAAACACACUGCGUACCAGGGGUUCCCCAUCACUCUAGGACUCACCUGCUGAAGUAGCAGGCACUUUCCCUGCUCCAUCAAUGCUGGCUCAUAGCUGAUCCUAUGGACUGCAUAUUGUGCAAGAGGAGAAUUGGAAAUCUACUAGCCUGAGCCACAUAGCUGUCGUCUCUCAGUAAUCUGGGUUCAAGGCAGCUAAUGGAAACACACAUUUAUAUUAUGAGUCCUGCAUAUAAGAAGUCCCAUUCUCUGGGAAUCUCCUUUCUCCUUCCGACUUCAUGCCCAGCAGGAGCUUUUCAGAAUACAAGGAGGGGGAAGAGGGGAGGGUCAGAGCUGAGCAUGAGAGCCACUCUUCUGUGACUGGAAGGAAACUUCCAUUCAUGGACAGAUGAGAAAGCCUGUGCUAGAAGCCACCUUGUAGAAACAUACCCAGGUUUGAGUAAACAGACACCUGCUUAGCACAGUUUCCAUACUAAUUUUUGCACAUAUAUGAUUCCAAGAUUAUUUUUAUUAAACAUCCGAUAAGUAUAUAUCCUUUGGUAUAAAUCCAUCAGGUUUUGCUGGACCUACCAGAAGUUUUAGAUUCCUUACCCAAACCUCCAAAGUGUAAACCUGGCCGGGCAUGGUGGCUCACGCCUGUAAUCCCAGCAUUUUUGGGAGGCCAAGGCAGGCAGAUCACGAGGUCAGGAGAUGGAGACCAUCCUGGCUAACAAGGUGAAACCCCAUCUCUACUAAAAAAUACAAAAAAAAAAAAAAAAAAAAAAAAUUGGCCGGGUGUUGUGAUGGGCACCUGUAGUCUCAGCUACUCGGGAGGCUGAGGCAGGAGAAUGGCAUGAACCCGGGAGGUGGAGCUUGCAGUGAGCCAAGAUCGUGCCACUGCACUCCAGCCUGGGCGACAGAGCAAGACUCCCUCUCAAAAAAAAAAAAAAAAAAAAAGUGUAAACCCUUGCUAGGUCAUGCCCCUCCCUAACCAAUUUCCCAGGGAAAAAGCCUUUAUGAUGGGAUUUCUCUGUCCUUUUGUUAUAUUUUCUGUAUGGUAAUUUGCUUUUGUUUUUGGCUUAACACAAAUUUAUUAUUUUUCAGUUCUGUACGUCAUAAGUCCCAAAGGGGUCUCCCUGGACUAAACUCAAGGUGUCAGCAGGGCUGCUUUUCAUUUUGGAGGCUCUAGGGGAAAACCUGUUUCCCUGAUUAUUCAGGUUGUUGGCUGAAUUUAGUCCUUAUGGGUGUAGGACUCUGGUCCCUGUUUGCUUGCUAUGUUCCCAACUUCUAGAGGCCACCUGCAUUCCUUUGCAUGUGCCUCCUUUCCUGUGUCUUCAAGGCCAACAACAGCAGAUCACAUGGUUUUCAUGCCUCAAAUCUCUGCUGCCUCUUCUACCACUUCUCUCCUCUUCUACGUUUAAGGACUCAUGAGGUUACAUUGGGCCCACCUAGGUAAUCCAGGAUAGUCUCCCCAUCUCAAGGUCUUUAAAGUCUCCUUUGCCAUGUAAGGUAACAUAUUCACAGGUUCCAGGCAUUAGGGCAUAGAUAUCUGGGAGAUCAUGCUGCCUGCAUGUGGUUGUCUUGAAGAGACAGGUAAUUUGUUGGAAAGGGGAAUGGGGGAACUUUUUGGAGUGAGGGAAAUGUUCUAUAUCUUGAUUAGGGUGGUGGUGGGUAUUCAAAUGUUAAAUCUUUUAAAUUUUAGUUUAACAUCUAUAUUAUUGCAUUUUCCAACUGUUAUAUUUUGCUUGUAAUUAUUUAUUUAGAAGCAACUUUGUGUGAGGCAUUGUAUUAAGCACUUUAUGUAAUCAUCUCAUGCAUUGUUUUCUCCUAGUACUCUGGUGUUAUCACAUAAUAAGUUUACUUUAACCGAUUAAGUUUGAUGAUGCAGUGUAGUGACUAGAGUCUUUCAGGUACAUAUUGUUCCACUUUAUGGCUAUUUUCCAUUUCAAUUUAAAGGCCAAGGGGGUUUUCUCAUUUACGAGUUUAUUAUAAAAGCUAUUACAAAGGAUACAGAUGAAGAGAUGUGUAGGGCAAGGCAUGUGGGAAGGGGCUUCAGUUUCCAUGCCCUUUCCAGGUGCACCAUACUCCAGGAACCUCCAUGAACUCAGCUAUCCCAAUGCUCUAGUAAUUUAAGUAAUUCAGUGUAACCAGCUGUAGUACUCUAUGCUUUAGGCAGGAAUAAUUAGCUGGCAUUUUUUUAAUGUGAAUCCACUUGAUGACCUUUAAAAUUUAGUAUAAAGGAUAUUAAAAACAAAUUCUUUCUUUUUUUUUUUUGGCAGGGGGACAGAGUCUCACUCUUGUCACCCAGGCUGGAGUGCAAUGGCGCAAUCUCGGCUCACCGCAACCUCCGCCUCCUGGGUUCGAGUCAUUAUCCUGCCUCAGCCUCCUGAGUAGCUGGGAUUACAGGCACCUGCCACCACGCCCGGCUAAUUUUGUAUUUUUAGUAGAGAUGGGGUUUCUCCAUGUUGGUCAGGCUGUUCUAGAACUCCCGACCUCAGGUGAUCCGCCUACCUUGGCCUCCCAAAGUGCUGGGAUUACAGGCGUGAGCCACUGCACCUGGCCUAAAAACAAAUUAUUUAUGUUCUUGAAAUUGGUGCACUUACAAUAUGUGGUAGAGGAGGUGUGGCAGGACACAUGGACCUUGCAUGACCAAGGUACAAGACAGCAGACAGCUCAACUGUCUGUGUCAUGGUGCGGCUUCCAGCACUGAGCCUAGGAUCCUGCCCCCAUGAGAUGACACGACCUGCAGGUUCACCUUUAGAACAUUGCUGACUUCAGUGUGGCCCUUUCAUGCAAUGUGCUGUUAAUUAGAGUACUUAUGGCAGAGAGAAGGACUUUUUCCCAGUGUGUAUAACUGUACCUACUGCUAAAGCAUGAUUUUUAAUCUAGUUAAAUUUGCUGUGAAAUUUACAUUUAUAGUGAGAGUGAGAUGAAGUGUGGUGUGGAAUGUAACCUAAAUCUGGAGCCUCUAACUACUAACCCCUGAUUUUGAUCAAAAGAAUCUGACAAGUACUCUAUAGACAAACUGGCUUAAAAGGAAAGCUUUUUAAAAAAAUAUAGGUGCCCAAGUCCCAUAACCAGUAAUUCUGAUUUAAUUGAUGUAAGGUGGAUCUUGGCAUUGAUAUUUUCCAAAAGCUGCCCAGAGAAUUCUGAUAUGUGGCCUGGACUAACAACUGGUUUAGAAGCAUUCACAACAAUCAUCCCCUAACAGUCCCUUGCCUAGGCAGAGGUUUCCAGUGAGCCCAAGAGCUUCCCACCCAGACCAGUAGGUCUAGAAAUGAAAUGUUUAGAAACACCUGGAGGUACUUGCUCUCAGUCCAUAUCCUGGCCUACCCGACAGGGACUCUGAUUCGGAAGAUCUAGGGAUGGGCUCAGGCAACUAUAUUGUAGUCCAGCAGCCAGCAGUGGCUUAUACAGGUGGACCAAACUUUGAGAAGCUUCCAGUGACAUCCCAGAUAGUCAGAUUCCUCACUCAUCCACUCUGUUCAGCAAUUGUAGAAAUGUUCUUGAAGUAACUGGAAAGAUGAGUCAAAUAGUAUUCUUUAGACACAAGCAUCAGAACUUCGUAACAGGAAAAUGCUGUGUCAGGCAUAACUAAUCUGCUUGCCCUUGUAAAUGCAACUCUUGAACUGGUAUGCACUCUGAUGAGUUAUUUACUGGUGAAACCUGUCACAAAGCGUUGGGAGAUUACAAAGAACAGAAGAAGGUAUCUUGGUGGCAGCAUCGUGUGUUUAUUGAACACCCGUUGUGUGUCUAAAACUGAAAUGACUGCUGGGGCUUAUGAAAAUGAGUGAGAUUCAGGCCCUGCUGUCACAAAAAAAUAUAAGUCUAACUGGGGAGGUUAGACAUGUGCCCAGGUAGCUAGAAUGUAAUGUAAUAAAUGUGGUCAUUGCAGUAGAAAGGAAGUGCUAUGGGAACAAGAGGAGGAAAUGGUUCAUCUACCUUAGGGUGGGAGGUGGAAGGUAGAGGUGGGGUGCUGGGAAGUGUCCCAGGGGAGGCAGCAUCUGAGUUAGAUUCCCCAGGGAGCAGAUUUCUCACUGUCCCCAUCCAGUGGGAUAGGAGAAGAACCACACACACUCUGGGCAAGACAGAAAGAUGACAUGAGCUAAGGUUUGGAGGGAUGGACAUGUGUGACCAGUGCAGUGCAGGUGAAUGGUAUGGAAGGCAAAGAUUGGCAGAGAAUACAGGAAAGGUAGUGUAGUGCCAGAUGGAAAUGGGCUUUGGAUUCUGCCCUUGUAGCAAGAGGCACGUAGUCAUACCUUUUCCAUCUGCUGCUGGGCCCCUUCCCAUACUAGGUCUCCAUUUCAGCACCCUGGACCACAUCAGAAUUCUUUCUUGUUUUUGGAAAAGCAUCAUUGAUAUCUACCGCAGGGUGUGUGACAGACAUAAACUGCUUUAAGUUUUGCCAAAAUGACUGUGUCUUCUACCUUUGAAAAAAAAUCUGUGCUCUCUAUAUUUGCUGAGUUGGUAUAAGAUAUUCCAAGGGAUAAAAAGAUAAAUAAUGAAGAGACACUGCCCUCAAGAAGCUAACAGAUAGGACUGUGACCUAAUGAAGAAGUUAGGAGGGUAGCAUUCAGUGCUUUUUUAGAACAGUAUCAACUUUCAAGAUUCAAAAGGAUGGUCGUGUUCAAUGACUGAUGGAGUCCUUCCAACUGGAAUGGGGUGAUUUGAACUUACAAUGAGGAAACCCAAAGUACUUCAUUUUAUAUAUGAAAAUCAAAUGGUUAUUGAGUGAUAUAAUAAGGAGACCUAUCAGGAAUACGUAAGGAGAAGAUAAUUUAUGCUCCUUUCUAAAGUACAUUUACGUAAGUAAUGAAUGAUUAGCUCUUUCAAAUGGAAAUGUUUUCUCUAGUACAGUAAAUUAUUCUGAUUCAUUUGUUCACUCUUAACAUGCAUUUCUUGGAAAACUUACUGGCAAAAUUUGUCACAAAGCAAUUAGGAGACUACAAAGUACAGAAGAAUAGCCUUUAAAUCCUUACACAAAUUAGUUCUUAUUUUAAGGACAGUUUAAAUCUCACAACAUCACAGCCUGCUUUUGCAUGCACUCUUUCAUUUACUUGUUAGAUUCCUUUACUGCAAAGAGCUCAAGGAAAACAACUAGAAACAAACCAUGGCUAUGCUGACAAGAAAGUGUCAGUUAUAAAGGGAAAUGAAUGAAGAUUUAUUCAUUUAUUAAUAAAGUAAUGUGGGCAGCCAUUUGAUAAUUCUAAUUUCUGAUUUAGUCUUUAAAGUUGACUUAUUUGCAUACAUUUUUAAAAGUCUGUGCUGUUGCCAAGUGACUUGGAACUACACAGCAUAGUUUACUUACAAAUUAGAUGAAAGCCUCUUUUAAAAUGUCUGCACAUAUUGUACUUUUUUUCUCUUAAAAAUAAGCCAUUGUUGAUUUAUUUUUGGACAGGUGAUAUUUGUGAAUGGAACAAAAUAUAAAAGGAAGGAUAUGGCAUACAGUAAGUCAGUCUCUCCUGGCCACCCAGUUCCUCUCCCUGGCACCAACCACUUUUGACUAGCAUUUUGUGUAUCUUCUCAGGGGGAGUCUAUGCAUGUACAAGGAUAUGCAUUUAUUAUUGGUGUUAUUGGUAUGCAAUUGUAGCAGACUCGUUUUUAAUGACUACAUAGUAUUCUAUUGCAUGGACAUAGCAUAAUUUAUUUAGUCAGCCAUCCUAUCGAUAGAUAUUGAGGUUGUUCGUAAUCUUUUUGCUAUUGCAAGCAAUGACUGCAAUGAUUAUGUUUUAUACACUCAUCCACCUUGUGGUGAAUAUAUCUGUAGGGUAAAUUCUUAAAUAUGGAAUUGUUUGGUCAGAGUAUAUGAGUUUAUAAUUUUGAUAAUUAUUGCCCAAAUGCCCCCUUCAGAGAUCGCACUAAUUUGCAUUCCCACCAGUAAUGUAUUUCCCCAUACUUUAGCUGACACAAUGUGUUCUCAAACCUUUGCCACUCUGAGAGAUGAAUAUUGGUAUCUCAUGGUAACUUUAAUUUGCCUUUCUCUUAAGAGUCAAUUUGAGCGUGUUUUUGUAUGUUUAAAGGCUGUUUGAAUUUUUUUCUGUGAACUGUCUAUUCAUAUCCUUUACUCAUUUUUUGAGUAGAUUGUUGAUCCUAUUUUAUUUUUAUACCUUAUUUUGCAACCAUAAUGUUAAGUUCAUUUUAGCCUCUGAACUCAAAUACCAUUUGUCAAUCAUUAGUCCAAAUAAAAAAAAAGUGGAGCCACUUAAUAAUCCUAACGCACAGUUUGAAACAUAAUUCAUUGAUGCCUGACUUUUCCUUCUCAACUAGUUUUAAUCUCAAAUUUUAAUGGGAACUGUCCUCACUCCUUAGGCCCAGUCAGGGUCAAAGAGUCCUGGGUUUUAUUUGUUUUAUUUGAACCCCAGGAGAGUUGCUUGUCUGAAGCUCUGUUUUAGCAAUAGAUUAUUUAUACAAACUCUCUGAUAAAUUUUAACUCAUUAAAUAGCAGCGUUAAUAUACUCAUCUAGCACCACAUUCCCUGCCUUCUGCAUGAGCAGAGGAGAGAGAGUGAUACUAUUAAAUAUUCAAAAGCCUUUAUCCUUAUCCCAACCCCUCCAUAGGAAGAUGCUAUCUUGCCUGGGCUAGGUGUAGUGGCUCACACCUGUAAUCCCAGUGCUUUGGGAGGCCAAGGUGGGAGGAUCACUUGACACCCAGAGUUCAAGACCAGCCUGGGCAACAUAGUGAGACCCCAUCUCUACAAAAAUAAAACUAAAAAAAUUAGCCAGGUGUUGCAGGCACCUGUAUUCCUAGCUACUCAAGAGGCUGAAGUGGGAGGAUCACUUGAGCCCAGGAGUUUGAGGUUACAGUGAGCUAUUAUCAGGUCACUGCACUCUAGCCUGGGAGACAGAGCGAGACCCUUUUUUUUUUGAGACAGGGUCUCACUCUGUCACCCAGGCUGGAGGGCAGUGGCGAAAUCUUGGAUCACUGCAACCUCUGCCUCCUAGUUUCAAGUGAUUCUCCUACCUCAACCUCCCGAGUAGCACGCCUGGCUAAUAUAUAUAUAUUUUUUUAAUGGAGACAGUGUUUCACCAUAGUGGCCAGGCUGGUCUCGAAAACCUGACCUCAAUUGAUCCACCUGCCUCGGCCUACCAAAGUGCUGGGAUUACAGGCAUGAGCCACCAUACCCAGCCAACCCUGUCUCUUAAAGAAGAAGAAGAAGGGAGAGGAGGAGGAGGAGGAGGAUGAGAAGGAGGAGGAGGAGGAGGAGGAGGAGAAGGAGAAGAAGAGAAGGAAGAGGCAGAGGGGGAGGAGGAGGAGGACUAGAAGGAGGAGGAGGAAUUAUCUUAUUAUCUUGCCCAUUAAAUAAAAAAGCGUAAAAGUCCCUUGCUUCUUUCUUUUUCAGAAUGGGGAUAGUUUAAAAGUGUCUGUUUGCAAUCCCCAAAUAUCAUAUUGCUUUUGGCAGCUGAUAUUCUUUAGCAGCUGAUUAAGUGAUACAUAUUUUACACAAAACAGAAUAUCCUGAAUCAAAGGGAUUUUGAAUAUUUAUUUGAACUGGCUUUAUCUCAGGUAUAUAUCUGGAAUUCACUGAAAAUAAAAUGGGUGGUAAGGACUCAAAGAUGACAGAGGAUAGCAACAACAAUAACAAGAUGGAGAUCAGGAAGUAGGUAUGCAAAUACCUGUAGGUUGGAUGUAUAUAGGAAAAGCUACCAUAUCAAACUGGGCAGAAGCAACCAAUCCAGAAAAAUAACUUCUAGCAUCCAAUCAUAUUGUGGUGAGAUUAAACUCACAAGAAAGUUAAAUGAGGUUUAGAGAACAUAUUCUCAACCCAUACAUACUUCAUUGGAGCAACUCUUGUUAAUCUUAAGGGGAAUUAUGGAACUCCAUUCUUCCUUCUUAUUUAGAAGAAAAUAGAUUCAAGGCCAAAUUUGUAGGCCAAAUUGAAGAUAUAACGAGAUUUUUUUUUUAACUCAUCGUCUUUGCCAAAUUCUCUAGAACAUAAAACCUGAGGCAAAGAUUACUUGCUAAGUCUAUGUUGGGUGGUGCAAUUUCAGGGCUAUAAAAGGGAAUGAGAAAAAGGUGAGGCAGGAAAGGAAGGAAUGCAAAUACUAGACGGUGUGUUAAGGAGCUGGACAUAACUUCACAAAGAACAAAGCCUGUUGCUGGGUCCUGCAUGUCACCUUGAAACAGUCCAUCAGGUGGGGAGGGCAGUGGGAGGAGCAAUGGGGGGAGAAAGAGGAAUUUAUCUUCUUGACCUCUAGUCCCUUGAUUCAAAAUUUAACUCUGAUUUAAGGGAGCCGUUGGGUAAGCCAGAUUCCACAUCCCACUAAACUGCCUGGAAGAGGUGGGAGGAGAGCAGCCAUUAAGGUAUGAGGUACAGAGUCCCAUCAGGUGAGACCCAUGUCUGUAGCCACUGAGGUUCCUGUUGCAACAGGUGAGAUGUGAUCUUCCCAAAGCCCCAGCUUCUUCCGCAGGAGGCUGAGACAGCAGGCCCACGGAUGUCCAUUCAGGAAGAGGCUAAGGCUUGGGGGUCAGGUGAAGAAUCUUGAGAGACACAAAAAUUGUUCUAGUAUAGUCAUGACUUAAAAUUAUAAAGAAUAAUUUUCAAGUCUUUUAGCAAAUCCAUGAAUUGGUGUUUUUGUGGAGAUAUGAAUGACUUUCAGUAAAAGAGUCACCGAAUCAUAAUAGGUAUGGAGGUGGAAAUUCUAUUAUUAAGAUUUAUGAUUACUGAAAUAUUUUCAUGAUUACUCAGAUCCAUUUCUGGACUGACCUUAUGCUUAACCAGAUGAUGUUUAUUAUUAAAGCUGAUUUUUAACGAGUGUUCAUUAAUAAAAAAUGCUCUUAACCACAAGGCUUUGUUUCCAAGUGAUGUAUAAUAAUAUGUGCUAAAACACGAAUCUCAAUUUCCAGAUGCAUAUUUUACCAAAACACCUAUUGCACUAAGGAAAAUAUGACAAAUUCUUUUUUUUGUUUGUUUUUUUCCUUUUUCCCUUUGCUUUUUAUUGCUCAGGAAACUAUGAUUGAUUGAGUUUAUGAACACAUGAACAGGCAAGCACGUACACUUAAAAGAUGAAACAAAGAAAAAAGUUGAUCCAUGUCAUUCCAUGAGAAAGGCUGCCCGCAGCACUCCAGCUCAAACACAGUGUCCCCUCAAGCUCUCUAUCCCCCUCCCCACUCCCUCACCUUCCCUCUGAUUCAGGGAAAUCAGAUUGGGAGGUUAGUGCAUCAUUGACAGAGAAUGCCCUCCUUCCACGCUCUGUAAGUCUCCCCCAGAAGCGGGGAAGGCAGUUCCCUUCAGUAGCGCACUUAGGGUUGAUUAGUGUUGGUUCCACAAGUUAAGGCACUUCAGGCUGCUUUAGUGGCAGCGUGGUUCCUCCCCUCCUUUUUUAAGGCAUGUGUCCUCUAAGAGUAGUAAAGCUUUGGAAACUGUGCAGACUGUUAAAGUUGACAGCUUAAUACAGGAUCAUUGAAGUCAGCAGGCAAAAGGAUCCUCGGAGACACCUCCCUCAGACCAGAAGCUUCCAGAAGGCCUGGGCAGCUCUGUGUUUCGGCUGGGCAUGGCACACUGGAGCCCCCCGAGGCCAGAGGGUGGUGCGUUCAGGUAGCAAAGACAGGUGGGCUCCGUCCCGCCUUCACCUGCAGCUGCCCUGGCUGCUGGUGGAGAAAAUAUGACAAAUUCUAAUUUUUCUGCACAUUAAUGUGCUGUGGUAUAGGUCUAAGGGAGGGGGCGCAGAUGGUGGUGAUGGAAGUGGAAACAAAAAAAUCAAUGAAAGAGACUCUUGAUAAAACAAGCGUCAUAUAUCUAAAAAUAAAAUAAUAACAAAUGGUUAUCCUAGCGUAUACAUCCAGAUGACAUUUGGAAAUUUGCAUAGAAGUAACAGAAGGGCUAAAUGAAGCCUUCUGGAAAAGUCAUAGUCUUUCAAACUUUAUGUACUCUUGGAUUCUAGAAACUCACUUCAGUUAUUUAAGUGAAAUGACCAGAAUUAGUGUCAUCUCCAUACAUUGAGCAGGAAGUUAACUUUGAGGAACUAUACAUGAGCACUUGUCCCUGAGGUUGUAGUAUCUUUAUGUCCUUUCCACGCCCUCGCCACAAAAAGCCCCAGCAAGAACAAUCAAUGUUUUCCUGCUUAACCCGUAUUUUUAUCUGAAUGUACAUUCUCCCUCCUCCCUCUUCCCUCUAGGCAUUUGCUAGGCCCUUAGGAGGUCAGGCAACUUGCACUGUGGCACAUGAAGAAUAUUCACAUACUUCAUAUCCUGCAGGAGAAAGGAGACAGCACAAGAAAUUCUGUUGUCACUAAUUGAAAGUAGUUUAUCACUUUAUCUUUAGAAGGUCUAAUGCCAAAACUUCAAGGAGAUAAUAAAUAGUCCAGUCUGGGUUUGAGCCUGGAGUUUGGAUGUCUAAGAUGACUCCGAGCGGAUGUGGAUUUACGUGUUAGUACCUGAAAGUGGGCACAGCCCCCACCUUGGAAUGAAUGUACACUUCCAAAGGACUCGUUCCCACAGGGUGGUGGAAGGAACAACAGAGACAGCUAUGUGCCCACAUGCUCAGCCAUCUGCCAUUCCAACCACAUGUCUCUCCCCCCGUUUCCUGCAAAUGAUUCAUCUAUUCUUUUUCUCCUUCUUCAAAGAUAACUCUGUAAGCACUUAAGGAGGGGAAAGUCAUUAAGAAAAGUGGAAUCUGGAGUUAUUAGGAUGAGAUAGAGCAGAUUAAACAGUCUGGAAUUUCACAAAGCAAACAGCACAGGGUGCGGACCCUGGGCCCGUCUCUCUCCUGCUGGUGCAUCAUUUCACAGGUUAUCAUCCUUCAUGAACAGGUCAACAAAAAUGGCCACAGGUAAACAUGAGCAUAUGAGUUGCUAAAGAGAAAGAAAGACAGAGAACAGCAGAAGUCAGGAGGAUUCUGGAUUUUCCAACUGGAGCCUCUGUGCAUCUUAUCCAGCAUCACAGACAGUGUCUGUCGCUAAGUGAUGCCAAAGGUUUUACACCAAUGAAUGGGAUCUUUGUGACGUUUUCCCAAUAACAGACCAAAAAGCUGCCACUAAAAUCAUGCUUUUAAAGGAGAUCCUGAACAAUAGCCAGUGAAGGUGAUUAUGGCCAUGUCCCCAUGUCCAUGAGGAGGUGCUUGGUGGGUAUUUGUUGAAUUGCAUCAAACUGGAGUUGGAUGGGACUCAGUUCAAAUCCUGACUCUGCUUCCAGCUUCUGGUACAUUAGGCAAGUUGCUAAACCUCUGGGCUUAGGGGAUAAAGACACUACCUCACAGGGUGGAGUGAGGAGUAGAAGAUAAUAUACGUGAAGUACUUCAUGUGGUCUUUGGAAAGAGGUAGAUAGAUAGGCAAAUAUCAGGUGAUUACAAAUACUCCUUAUAAUUUCACUUCAGUUUGUACCGCAUCUCACACCCUGAAGCUAGCAGGGUAAAGAGCUCUCAGGAGAAUGAAGAGGCCUCUGGCCCAUUCUAGUAUGGUCUCUCCCAUCAGGAGGGGAAAGGCAAAUAUUGCAUGGGACCUGGCAAUAAGAUUGAAUGAGACAUAAGCAAAGUCUGAUCGCAUCCUUAUCCCCACCCCUUAACAGCCACUAUAUCCCUUGAGGCAAGUGAAGGGCCCCAGAAGUGAGGGAUCUUAUUGCUAAGUAGAUCAGACAGAGUUCUUAAAGAUUCUAAUAUGUUGCCUGUAUUGUCUCAUCUGUAAAAUGGGUGUUAAAAUAGCACUCAUAUCUUGGGUUAUGAAGAUGAAAGAAGAUAAUCUAUGUAAAGGACUGAGCACAGGGCCUGGGACAGUUAGUGAUAGAUACAUGUUAGCUACUGUUGCUAUUUUGUAUUCCAUGUUCAAUCUAUGAUAUUGAUUAACCUGUUUAUUGAUUGCUGGAUUUUCAUUUAGUAAAUUAAUUUUCAAUAAAUGAUUUUCACUUAAGCAUUUGUUCACGCAGUCACUUCAUUCAUUUAUUUAUCAUAAAACAUUUAUCAAGGUCCUAUUCUAUACUGACACUAUGCUGGGCUCAAGAGAUGCUGAGGCUUUUUGGGCAAGAAGGUUGAAGACUAGGCAGGGAGAGAGACCUGAACUAAAGCAGGAGAAGGCAAGGUGUAGUAUACACAUCAUGGAGACAUGUAUAAAGCAUUCCUGGAACCCAGAGGAACCAGGAAGUGCUGCUCAUAAAAGAUGCUUUUUGAACUAGAUCUUGAAGAGUGAGUAGCCCGAGGAGUUUGGGCUUGCGAAUUCUAGAUAACAAGAACAGCUUGCCAAAAGGGAUAAAGUUGUGAAACAAACAAACAAACAAAAAACAGGGUUUGGAGCCAGGAGGACUUUGGUGUGAGUGGUGUUUGGCCAUUCUGCCUGGUGCCUUCCUUUGAAUUUAGGUUCGACCCCCUGUGGGGGCCACAGAGAGUCACCUGCAGCUCAGUCUUACCCCAGGUGCUGGGCCCAAGUCUGCUCUUAGAGGAAAUGUAAGUAGCUUAUAUCACUCAGUAUCGGGUCAGCUAGGCUCUGGGUUCUGUUCUGAGCUCCUGCUCUAUUUCUAGCUGUGAAGUUUCCACUUGAUUCCUGUCACAGGCUCUACCUUGUAUUCCAGUUCAAAUAACUGGGCUUUGGCCUUUGUUCUUUCUUCUACAUUCUGCCUCUAAGUUUCUCUAAGACUGGAAUUUUGCCUUUCCUUAUCAGUCCUUCCUAGAACUUCAGUCCCUCCCAGAACUUCAGUCCCCUCCUUGGCCCUGGGGCCUCACUCCAGGCUGCUUGAUCCACUUAUGGUUAUUGCUUGCUGGGUUCACCUUCUUCUCCUUUCUGCAGGUGGAACACAGACUGAUGACAACCACGUGCUGAGAUCCCCUGUUACUGCCUAGACACAAAUUGCUAUCUAGGUCCUGUUUCACUGCCUGGCAGAACUGCCUUGCUACUUCUGGUUUGGCUCGCCAUUGCCUGAAUUCCUAAACUCCAUUCUGAAUAUUACUAGUGAAAAAUGCACGGCAGGGCGCAGUGGCUCAUGCCUGUAACCCCAGCCCUUUGGGAGGCUGAGGCAGGUGACUCACCUGAGGUCAGGAGUUCGAGACCAGCCUGGCGAACAUGGUGAAACCUCGUCUUUACUAAAAAUACAAAAAUUAGCCAGGCAUGGUAGUGGGCACCUGUAAUUCCAGCUACUCAGGAGGCUGAGGCAUGAGAAUUGCUUGAACCCGGGAGGCAGAAGUUGUAGUGAGCCGAGAUCACACCACUGCACUCUAGCAUGGGCUAUAUAGAGCGAGACUCAGUCUCAAAAAAAAAAAAAAAAAAAGAAAAAUGUGCUACUUUGGUAUUGAAAUUAGCAUCCAACAUCAGCUUUUGGAGAUACAGGUUAUGCCAUAUACUUUGGUAAAUUUCCCCCAAGCAUUUAGACUUACAGAAGAUAUGCAGUAAAAGCUGUUGGAGUAUAUGCUACAAAUGAGCCUUGGUGGUAUGGUCCCAGGCCUUCCUGUGCUGAUUAGCAUUUUAUGGCAUGUAUAAUUUUCCUUAACAUUGCUCAGGGGAUUAGGACACUAGUCAUAUGCUGCCAGCCACAAGUUUUAAAAAACCAACUUAGGAAUAAAAUCACAACAGGAA
rnacentral:lncRNA from 1 species